UACGUAGGGACCAAGCGUUGUUCGGAUUUACUGGGCGUAAAGGGCGCGUAGGCGGCGUGACAAGUCACUUGUGAAAUCUCCGGGCUUAACUCGGAACGGUCAAGUGAUACUGUCGUGCUAGAGUGCAGAAGGGGCAAUCGGAAUUCUUGGUGUAGCGGUGAAAUGCGUAGAUAUCAAGAGGAACACCAGUGGCGAAGGCGGCUUUCUGGUCUGUAACUGACGCUGAGGCGCGAAAGCGUGGGGAGCAAACAGG
rnacentral:rRNA from 1 species